GGCAAGGUAGCUCAGUUGGUUAGAGCACAGCACUCAUAAUGCUGGGGUCGGCGGUUCGACUCCGCCCCUUGCUACCA
rnacentral:tRNA from 70 species